rnacentral:lncRNA from 1 species
CUCGCUAAAAGGAACCUAAUGGAUCGCACACACCAUAAAAGGUGGAGAUUGAAGAUUAAACGGAGAUGAGUAAGAAUGAUUAAAUGGUUUAAUCAUUUAAAUUAUGGCAAGGAUUAAUUAAUAUGUUAAUUAAUCAAACGAAUAAGUUCGUUAAAGACCUCGGGAUAGUUUUGGACCUUAAGGCCCAAUGGGCUUCGAACGUCAAGCCCAUUGACUUAAGUUGUAUGACAACUUAAUGAAUAAAGAUUCACAAAGGCCCAAAAGCCCAAAAAUCCCUAAGGUAGGCCGGCCAUGUUAGAUGAAUUAGGGUUUUGGUUCUUUAGGUCACUUAUUUGAAGGGACUAUAUAAAGGACUUUAUAGCCAAAUAUUCAUUAUGUGAUUAAGGGUUUUUAUUUUGGGGAAAAUUGGUGAGAAU